rnacentral:rRNA from 1 species
GCCCCCCGCGGCCAGCAAUAAUACAUGCAGUCGAGCGAACGGACGAGAGUGCUUGCAUUCUCUGAUGUUAGCGGCGGACGGGUGAGUAACACGUGGGUAACCUACCUAUAAGACUGGGAUAACUUCGGGAAACCGGAGCUAAUACCGGAUAAUAUUUAGCUUCGCAUGAAGCAAUAGUGAAAGACGGUUCUGCUGUCACUUAUAGAUGGACCCGCGGUGUAUUAGCUAGUUGGUGAGGUAACGGCUCACCAAGGCAACGAUACAUAGCCGACCUGAGAGGGUGAUCGGCCACACUGGGACUGAGACACGGCCCAGACUCCUACGGGAGGCAGCAGUAGGGAAUCUUCCGCAAUGGACGAAAGUCUGACGGAGCAACGCCGCGUGAGUGAAGAAGGUUUUCGGAUCGUAAAACUCUGUUGUAAGGGAAGAACAAGUACGUUAGUAACUGAACGUACCUUGACGGUACCUUACCAGAAAGCCACGGCUAACUACGUGCCAGCAGCCGCGGUAAUACGUAGGUGGCAAGCGUUAUCCGGAAUUAUUGGGCGUAAAGCGCGCGUAGGCGGUCUCUUAAGUCUGAUGUGAAAGCCCCCGGCUCAACCGGGGAGGGUCAUUGGAAACUGGGAGACUUGAGUGCAGAAGAGGAGAGUGGAAUUCCAUGUGUAGCGGUGAAAUGCGCAGAGAUAUGGAGGAACACCAGUGGCGAAGGCGGCUCUCUGGUCUGUAACUGACGCUGAGGUGCGAAAGCGUGGGGAUCAAACAGGAUUAGAUACCCUGGUAGUCCACGCCGUAAACGAUGAGUGCUAAGUGUUGAGGGGUUUCCGCCCCUCAGUGCUGCAGCUAACGCAUUAGCACUCCGCCUGGGAGUACGGUCGCAAGACUGAAACUCAGAAAAUUUUGGACGGA